rnacentral:rRNA from 1 species
GAUGAACGCUGGCGGCGUGCUUAACACAUGCAAGUCGAACGGGAAACCUUUUAUUGCAGCUUCAGCAGAUUUAGCUGGUUUCUAGUGGCGGACGGGUGAGUAACGCGUGGGUAACCUGCCUUAUACAGGGGGAUAACAACCAGAAAUGGUUGCUAAUACCGCAUAAGCGCACAGGACCGCAUGGUCCGGUGUGAAAAACUCCGGUGGGAUAAGAUGGACCCGCGUGGGAUUAGCUAGUUGGCAGGGUAACGGCCUACCAAGGCGACAUUCCAAAGCCGGCCUGAGAGGCUGAACGGCCACACUGGGAGUGAGACACGGCCCAGACUCCUACGGGAGGCAGCAGUGGGGAAUAUUGCACAAUGGGGGAAACCCUGAUGCAGCGACGCCGCGUGAAGGAAGAAGUAUCUCGGUAUGUAAACUUCUAUCAGCAGGGAAGAUAGUGACGGUACCUGACGAAGAAGCCCCGGCUAACUACGUG